GACGAACGCUGGCGGCGUGCUUAACACAUGCAAGUCGAACGGAAAGGCCCUGCUUUUGUGGGGUGCUCGAGUGGCGAACGGGUGAGUAACACGUGAGUAACCUGCCCUUGACUUUGGGAUAACUUCAGGAAACUGGGGCUAAUACCGGAUAGGAGCUCCUGCUGCAUGGUGGGGGUUGGAAAGUUUCGGCGGUGGGGGAUGGACUCGCGGCUUAUCCGCUUGUUGGUGGGGUAGUGGCUUACCAAGGCUUUGACGGGUAGCCGGCCUGAGAGGGUGACCGGCCACAUUGGGACUGAGAUACGGCCCAGACUCCUACGGGAGGCAGCAGUGGGGAAUAUUGCACAAUGGGCGGAAGCCUGAUGCAGCAACGCCGCGUGCGGGAUGACGGCCUUCGGGUUGUAAACCGCUUUCGCCUGUGACGAGGCGUGAGUGACGGUAAUGGGUAAAGAAGCACCGGCUAACUACGUG
rnacentral:rRNA from 1 species